CCGUCACGAAACUGCUCUGUCAGCAUAGGUCCUGGAGUGCCAUGGAUAGAGCACCAAGCCAGCUUGGGACAGACAUGAACAAAAACUGUGUGUGUUAUAUAGAAGAAGAGGAGGAUGAAGAAGACGGUUUCCAACAAUGAUCACUAAUCCACAAUUUGGAAAUCCUUAUGAAGUCGUCCACCCUAAGAAAGCCUCUGUGCUGCCAUGAAGUGAUGAGUGCUGGAAAGCUGAUGUUACUACCUAAUGUGACUGGACAGCACCUCCUCAAGGCCUCCCACACUUGUCAAUCUCUUGGUAGUGUCUUUGGAUUCACUUAAACAGCCACUUUAGUUAUCAAACUGCUCUAUCAUAAUAUUACAGUUCAAAUAGGUUCUGAGUAAGGUUCCCUUUAGGACCAGAGUCAACUUUCCCUUGAUGCACUGACCUCUCCACCAACAAGCUUUUGACUUUGUUUGAUAUUUAUAUAUUCUUCAUGAGCAUUUUGUUGACAUCUUACUUAGUUUAAAUUACCCCAAUUCCAUCUUAGUAUAGUUGAAGAAAUGAGAAAUUAUCAUUAUAAAUUAAUUUAUAAUGAUGAUAUAUAAUAAUUUAUAGUAGCUAUAAAUUAUUAGUGAGAAGGAUAAACAGAAAUGCCUGAAACCAAUAAUUCUGAGGAGCCACCAGCCCAGUGUAUUGACAAUGCCUCAUCUGCUACCAACAAGACUGAACUAUUGAUUAAAUGUCUUUCUGUUAUUAAAUGACUACACCUAUUUAAAGUAGUUCUACAGACUUAUUCCCAAAACAUCAACACUAACAGUAACCAUCACCUUUCUCCUCUUAUCUUGAAUCAAAAUUAGAAAUUUUACUCACCAAAGAUUUUUCUAAGUGUUAAGUAAAGUGACCUUAACUUUUCCCUUAUUAUCUUUUCUAAACUGCUUACACCAAAGUCCAAGCAAAUGUCGUAUAAGUUUUAAAUUUCUCUACUUUUGCCCAACAUCAAGGAGAUAUAUGUGUGAAGAGAAAUGAAGAGUUUAAUGAUGAACUGUAAACUUUGAACUCCAGGAAUGGCAACCUAGAUUGAAAUAAUAGUUCCGUUCCUCAUGGGUUCAUGACUUGAGAGAGGGCAGCGAUGCAAAGCAGGGGUAUGGAAGAAAGUCCUAACAGGAAUAACAACCAUGGAUGGUUUUGGUACCCAGGCUCUUCCCACUGAGUUCUGAGUGUCAAAUGGGUUCCUGAGAGAGGAAGAAUCCCAAAACAUUAGACAACAUAUGGACAUGUAAUCUUUCUUUAAUUUAAUUUGGAGAAAUAAGUGGCAUUAAGUAUUUAUUGUCAUGCCUUCCUGUAUUUUUAAAAUUAUCUUUAAUGAGAUGUAUUACUAUUUUUAAAUUAAAUUUUAUAUUCAUUAGAAUAAUAUAAGCUUAUCAAUGAAUUAGUUUAGUGACAAACUCCUGGUUUAAAUAUACUAUUACCUUCAGGCAUGUGUGUGUGUGUGUGUGUGUGUGUGUGUGUGUGUGUGUGUUUGUGUGGAUGUGUUGCUUUUUCCAUUGGGUCUUUAUUUCUGAAGUAACCAGUAUCACAUGAAACUCCCAUAGGUAAAUUUGUUUGCCUUCUUAUAUUGAUCUCUCUCUUGCUAUAAGUCUGCAGUCGUGGAACCCAAGAUAGAAAAUAAAGUGCAUCUUUUCUGUUCAUCUGGAGUGCAGGCAUACUGCACACCAAGCUGUAGCAACCCCUCUCUUGGCUCGCAUUUGUGAUCUUGACCAAUCUAACAUAGGGCAUAGACAUAAAUGGCUGCAGAAAGAAUGAGAUUGGAAUAUAAAAUUGCAUUUGCAAUUUGAAAGCAAUGUGCUAACAGCAGUUUAACUGCAGGAUUUUGUUUUUCGUGAAGCAUUAUAACACUAGGUAUGCUAACCUUCCCUGAAAGACACACAGACUGAGCCUGCACCAGCCCCACUGACCUCUUGUACCUUUUCAUUCAUAGGAGCUAUAUUUAGUCCAUAAACAGCAAAUGUUUAGCUUCCCAUGGGAAAUACCAGCACAAACAUACAAACAUGCUGUGUCUGUAUAUGGACUAUGUUUUAAAUAACACAGCUAUUUUUAUCCCAACUUGUUAUUUAUACUGCCCUCUUUUGUGCAGAAUAGCAAAAUGUGUGAGUGGCAACAAAAUGUGUGACUUAAUCAGAAGGAAAAUACAAUUCUAUUGUCAUCAAAGGAAAAAAUGGGCACCUUCCACAAUACAUGAGAUGGAACUCUCCUUAGUUGGAGCUGCUAAAAUUCUACUCUAAGAAUGGGGCUGACUCAUGUGCAAUGCCUUGAGCACAUCAGCUGAAAGUAUAGAUACUAGCCUACAUACACUCUCAGUCCUCAGAGGGGUAAUAAGACCUCAACCCUACCAGCAGCUAGUCCCAGUAGAACACUGAAAAAAUUUCAACUCCACCCUAUAACCUAAUCCCAGAUGGGAAAAAUCCCAGUGCAAGAAACACAGCUCCUGGAAAAGUUAUCAGUUCCAUAGUACUUUAUUCCAAUGAUAGUGAACUGGAUGAGAUAACAGAUAAAGAAUUAAAAAGAAUUAUGAUAAGAUUUCAGCAAACUAAAAAUAAAAUAAAACACAACUAGCCUCCUGAAUAAAGUCAUAGACAAAACAAAAUAGCUUCUGAAUAAAAUAAAGAUGUCUAUACAAUAUAGAAAGAGGAAGUUAGUCAACAUAUAGAAAUACUGAAAAGAAUAACAAAUUUAAAAUGGAAACCUCAGUUCACCAAGUAAAAGCUUCAGUUAAAAUAGAGCAUAUCUGCAGGAAGGUGGACUAUCAGAGCCUGAAGACAAGUGUGUGAGAAUUAAAGUGUUCACAUAACAUAGAUACAAUAAUGAUAAUUUGUAACCAGAACAUACAAGAUUUACAAUAUGCCAUUUUGAGACCAAAUAUAUGAAUCAUGAGCACAGAAAGAGAGAAAAAGUACAAGAUAAAAAGGAUAUUCAAUAAAACAAAAGCAAAAAAAAAUCAAAUCUAGAGAAAGAGAUGGCUAUGCAGAUACUAGAAGCAUUCAGAAUUCCAAACAGAUAAGACCAUGGAGAAGAAGUAUACAGAGCAAAGAAAGUACUUUGGAAGUCACAAGACAGUAUUAUCAAGUCACACAAAAGUAAACCCAUUAGAAUAAUAGCAGAUUUCUCAACAGAAACUCUGAAAGAACAGCAUAGAGUAAUGUAUUUCAAGCUUUGAAACACAGUAACUGCCAAACCGAAUUUCUGUAUAUACCAAAACUAUGCAUUAUAAUUGUAGGAGAAAGCAAAACCUUGAGAUAAAUAAAAACUAAAGGACCACUAUGGGAGCAUCACUGAAAAUACAUGAAGAAUCGUAUAUACUAAAGCAGGAAAUAAAUACACUCAUGAGGCUAUGAGAAAGAAUAAACUGUACUAUAAUACCCUAUAUGCAAACUAGGAUUAAAAAACACCAAACAUUACAAAAACAUCAAAAUGUUAGGAAUUAAUAACUAACUACCAAUAAUAACUCCAAAUAGUAAAAUGGUCUCAAUACCCCAAUCAAACAGCACAGACUAGGAGGUUGGGUUAAGAAACGGGACUUAUAUAUUUGCUACACACAAGAAACAAAGCUUGUUAGUCAGGACAAAAAUGGCCUUCAGUUGAAAGGAUAGAAAAGGCUACUCCAAAGGUAUGGAAGUAGGAAAAACCAGACAAUAACAACAACAACAACCAAGAUAUAUUCACAUUACUAAUGGAAAAGUUAGACUUCAAAUAACAAUUCAUCAGAAGAUGCAAAUAACAUCAGUUCAUAAUGAUUAAGAGAACACCAGUAAACCCAAUUUCAUUAAAAAAUAAAAAUAAACCAAAGUCUUACCACGUAUAAAGGUGCACACUGACCUCAACACUGUAAUAGUUGAUGGCUUCACCAAUAUAUGGGUCAUCUAGAUCAAAAAAAAAAUCAGCAAAUAAAUAUCUGAGUUAAAUGGCAUUAUAGAUCUAAUGGACUUUACAAAUAUAGAUAGAUGAUAUAGAUAGACAGAUGGUAAAUACAUGAUAGAAAGACAGACAGAUGAUAGAUAGACAGACAGAUAGAUAAUCUGUUUAAAUGUCUACUUUAAAAAAAUAGAUCCCAAAUGAAAAAUCUAAUAAUAUGUCUCAGUUACCUAGAAAAACAAGAACAAGCCCAACCCAAAAUUGGGAGAUGAAAAGAAAGAUCAGGGCAGAAGCCAAUAUAAAGAAAAAUACAAAGAAUCAAUGACUUAAGUGGUAGGGGCUGUGAAAUCAUAGGCUAAAUUGUAAUCUCUUAGGUAAAUUAACACACAGAGAAGAGUUGUAUUAAUGAAAUUAGGCAAGAAAAGGGACCCAUUUCAAAAGAUACCAACAUCAGGUUCUAAGAAAAUCAUUUGAAAAACUAUUCUAAUAAAUUAAGAAAUCUAAAAGAAAUUGAUAAAUCUCUAGACAUAUGUAACCUACCAAUAUUAAGCCAUGGAGAAAUAAAGAGAUCUAAAAGGUACAAUAUUGAAGUGAUUUAGAAGUUCCCCAACUAAGAUGACCUGACUCAAAUGGAUUCACUGAUAAAUUCAACAGGACCUUUAAAAAGUAUCUAAUGCCUAUGUGCUACAAACUAUAUAAUAAAAAGCUAAUUUACUUUAUGAAUAUAGUACUACUCUGAUAUAAAAAACAAAACAGAUGAACAAAUAACAGCCAUACCCACACAACAAAAUAAACUAAUAAUUAUUUCUCCAUAAUGAAAAUGAACACAAAGUUUAUUUUUUAAAAAAUACUGGCAUGGAACUGGAAGGAUGCCUCAUUGAUUAAGGAAUGGCUCUUGCACUGGCUGCUCUUCCAGAGGAUCCGGGUUUGAUUGUCAGCACCCACAUGGUGGCUCACAGCUAUUUGUAACUCCAGUCCUGGGUAAUCUAACACCCUCUUCUAGACAACACAGGCACUGGGCACACACAUUAGGCAAUGGCAUAACACAGACAAAACACCCAUCCACAUAAAAUAGGUUAAUUAAAAUUUUUACAAUGCUUGUAGCCACGCAUAGGAGUGCAUACCUUUAAUCUUAAUAUUUGUGAGCAUAGGCAUGUGGAUCUCUGUGAGUUAAAGGAAGAAUGCUAAGCUAGCAAGGACUACAUAAAGAGACCUUGUCUCAAAAAUACAUACAUACAUACAUACAUACAUACAUACAUACAUACAUACAUACAUGCUACUAGCAAACCCAGUUCAACAAUACUGCAAAGAGCUCAUUCACUAUAAUCAAGUUAGCUGCCUUCCAAG
rnacentral:lncRNA from 1 species